rnacentral:rRNA from 1 species
AUUGAACGCUGGCGGCAGGCCUAACACAUGCAAGUCGAGCGGAGCGGCGGACGGGUGAGUAAUGCCUAGGAAUCUGCCUGGUAGUGGGGGAUAACGUCCGGAAACGGGCGCUAAUACCGCAUACUAUCAGAUGAGCCUAGGUCGGAUUAGCUAGUUGGUGGGGUAAAGGCCUACCAAGGCGACGAUCCGUAACUGGUCUGAGAGGAUGAUCAGUCACACUGGAACUGAGACACGGUCCAGACUCCUACGGGAGGCAGCAGUGGGGAAUAUUGGACAAUGGGCGAAAGCCUGAUCCAGCCAUGCCGCGUGUAUGAAGAAGGCCUUCGGGUUGUAAAGUACUUUCAGCGAGGAGGCGUUACUCGCAGAAGAAGCACCGGCUAACUCCGUGCCAGCAGCCGCGGUAAUUC